GGAGAUAAAGGAAAGAAUUUGAAGAUCACUAAGACCAAAGGUUGCUGCGGUUUUUAAUGGGGCUCAAUGACACCUACAUAGGGGUGAGAAGCAAUAUUCUGUUGUGUUCUCCUUUACCCACUAUUGGGCAAGCCUACUCCAUGGUCAUCCAAGAUGAAAAUCAAAAAGAGAUGCAUUGUGCUCCAAUCUAUCCAGGAGAUUCAGCUUCUUUCAUUGUUGCACAACAAGGUUCUGCUGGAAAGAAAGCGAUUUCAGAGACUUUAAGGGAAUGAAUUCUGCUUAUGAAGGAAACAAGAAUAACUCAUUUUGCUCUUACUGUAAGAAAUCAGGUCAUGUGAUAGGGGAAUGUUAUAAACUUGUUGGAUUUCCUCCGGAUUUCAAGUUCACUAAUCAGAAGAAAUAUCAAGGAUCUAUUUAGGGUAACAAUGCACUUGUUUCAGAUGAUAAUGCAGAACAAAGCUCAGGCAUUAAGGGUCUCAUCCAAGAGAACAUCACCCUAAUUUUGCAGCUUCUACAGCAGGUGCAGAUGGGAAAGCAAGCUGCUAGUAGCUCUAAGAAUAAUGCAGACGUGAACCUAGCUGGUAUAUAUUUUUCAUACAACUGUACAACCUGUUUUGCACAUAACAACAAUCAAACAUGGAUAUUAGAUAGUGGUGCAACUGAACAUACGACUUUUGAUGAAUCUUAUCUCUUUAACAUGAAUAUUCUACCUAAACCUUUGAAUGUAAACCUUCCUAAUUCAUCUAAAGUUAAAGUAACUCAUUCAUGAUCAGUUAAAAUCUUUCCUAACAUUACUCUUCAUAAUGUCUUAUAUGUCCCAGCCUUCAGAUUCAAUUUGUUAUCAGUUCACAAAUGGUGCAAGCAAAACUACUAUAACAUAUUAUUCACUUCUCUAUUUUUUAUGCAGGCCCCUUCAAUGAAGAGGCUUCUGGUGAUUGGUAGGGAGAGUUAUGGAAUAUAUAUUUCGGAAUAAAGGCAUUUGGAACUCAUUUCCAAGAAGCCAUCUUAUUUUGGUAGUAGAGUUGUCCUAGGAAAGAAUCUUUGUAAUCAGAAUGAGUCUUCAGUUUUAUUUUCCUUUUCCAGUCUUUCAAAUGUAAAGAACAAGCUAUGGCACUAUCGUUUAGGCCAUAUGCCUUUGAGUAAUAUGAAGGAGAUUUCAUCUAUUCCUAGUCAUUCUUGUGAUAAUUUCUCUAUACCUUGUGUUAUUUGUCCAAUGGAUAGGCAGUCAAAGCUAACAUUUCCAAACAGUUCUAUCACUACUAAAUCUGUUUUUGAAUUAAUCCACAUAGACACUUGGGGUCCAUACAAUACAAAUACAUGUGAUGGAUACAAAUAUUUUCUAACUAUAGUAGAUUAUUAUAGUAGGAGGACUUGGACAUAUCUUCUUAGCACAAAGCCAAAUGCUUUUCCAGUUUUACAAUCCUUUUUAGCCAUGUAGAGAGACAAUUUCAUAGUAAAAUUAAAGUCAUACGUUCAGAUAAUGCUUUUGAGCUUGGAACAAGAAAGGUACAGGAAGAAUAUUCUUUUUAAACAAGGGAUUCUGCAUCAGACAACUUGUGUUGGGACUCUCCAACAAAAUGGAAUUGUUGAAAGAAAGCACAAGCAUAUUUUGGAAAUCUCAAGGGCUUUACUAUAUCAAUCACAUCUGCCAGUGAAGUUUUGGGGAGAUUGUGUGUUGACUGCAACACAUUUGAUUAACAUGUUUCCUUCAAGGGUACUUAGGUUCAAGACACCUUGUGAAAUCAUAUUUAACACUAAACCUGAUUAUUCCAGACUUAAGUGCUUCGGAUGUCUAUGUUUUGUCUCCACUCUUACAUCUCAUAGGACAAAGUUUGAUUUGAGGGCUUUACCUUGUGUCUUUCUGGGGUAUCCACAUUGUAAGAAAGGGUACAAAGUUCUUAACUUAAACACACAAAAGACUCUUGUAUCUAGGGAUGUAGUGUUUCGUGAAGAUAUUUUUCCUUUUGCCUCUAUCAGAUCCGCAAAAAUUCAAAAACCUAUUUUUCCCCCUUCAGAUUUAUCUAAACAGAAUAUUGAUGUACAAAAUUUCUUUUCUGUAAAUUCAAAAGAGAGAUAUGAAGACUUGGACCAUCUUUUGGAACCUAACAACCAAGAAGUUCCUACACCAAAUCCUCAAAAUGUGAGUAGGAACUCACCUAUUGCAUUCAGAAGAUCCACGAGGAUUGACAAUUCUCCUUCCCAUUCAGAAAUGCAUGUACCGGUGCCAUGUCCUCAACCUGGAAAUACAGAAUCACCAGUCAUACUUAGAAAAUCCUUAAGAGUCAGUAAAACUCCUUCCUAUUUAAAUGACUAUGUUACUAGUGCAAUCCAGUUAACAGAUGUAAGUGGUUCUUAUUUUCUUUCCCCUAUCACACCCACUUCUUACUCCUUUUCUACACUUUCAAGAUCAAAUCAGAAUUUCCUAAAUUGCCUUUCAAUUGUUCAAGAACCACUAACCUUUAAUCAAGCAGCCCAUCAUUCAGGAUGGCAAGAGGCAAUGCAAAAAGAGAUUGAUGCAUUAAUACAAAAUGACACAUGGGAUGUAGUUGAACUUCCUCCAAAAAAAAUGCCCUGCCAUACAAAUGGGUAUACAAGGUUAAACAACUUCAAAUGGAAGUAUUGAGCGUUUGAAAGCAAGAUUAGUCGUUAGAGGAGAUGUACAACGUGAAUGAAUAGAUUUCAAUGAGAAGUUCUCACAUGUGGUCAAAAUGACCACAAUUAGAUGUCUAUUAGCUAUUGCAGUCAAGAAAGGAUGGGGGAUAUAUCAAUUAGAUGUUAAUAACACUUUUCUACAUGGAGAUUUAAACGAAGAAGUUUAUAUGAAAUUUCCGCUGGUAUGAUUGCACCGACUCCUAAACAUGUCUACAAGUUAAACAAGUCACUAUAUGGACUUCGACAAGCUUCACGACAGUGGUAUUCAAAACUCACAGGCGCACUAAAUUUCAAAGGUUAUUCACAUUCCUUAAAUGACUACUCCUUAUAUUUUAAGAGAAAGGGAACUUCAAUUUCCAUUUUAGCAGUUUAUGUAGAUAACAUUGUGCUAACCGGGAACGAUAUAGGGGAACUAAAUGCACUGAAAGAUUAACUUGAUCAAUAAUUUAAAAUUAAUGAUCUUGGAAACUUACAUUAUUUUUUGGGAAUGGAAGUUGUCCUGGAAUUGGCUGGUUUAAUCUUUACUCAACGAAAGUUCACUUUGGAUUUGCUCAAAGAGUUUAAUUGUCUAGAUAAGUCGCUCGUGUCUUCACCUUUAGAUCUAACCUAGAAACUUGUUGCCAACACUGGUGAUAUCAUUCCGAUCCAACAUUGUACCGACACUUGAUCGGCAAAUUGAAUUGCCUAACCCAUAUGCGACCAGAUCUUUCAUUCACUAUGCAACACCUGAGUCAAUAUAUGCAAGAUCCUCGCCAGCCACACCGGGAAGCUGCUCUACGGGUCCUUCGCUAUCUCCUUAGAGAUUCAGGUAUUAGGCUUUUUCUGUCGGCGUCAUCAUCAUUCAAGCUUCAAGAUUUGUGUGACUCCGAUUGGGCUUCUUGCCCAGGUUCAAAGAAAUUAGAAAGUGGCUUCUAUAUCUCCCUUGGAUCCUCACCAAUUUCCUGGAAAUCAAAGAAACAAAUGUCAAUUUCUCUUAGUUCUGUCGAGGUAGAAUAUAGGUCUAUGAGACGGGUAGCUUCAGAACCCACCUGGCUAAUUCGCCCUUUCGAUGAUCUUUCAACACCAAUAGAACUUCCAGUUCCCCUUCAUUCAGAUAGUCAAGCCACAAUCCACAUCGCAAAGAACCCGAUCUUCCAUUAAAGAACGAAACAUGUGGAAAUUAAUUGUCAUUUUGUGAGACUAUAAUUCCUUGCUGGUUAAUUUCAUUGUCCUUUGUCCGAUCUCAGCACCAACUAGCCGAUCUGUUCACUAAAUUGCUAAAAAGCCCAAAGCAUUGUAAUUUGCUCGUCAAGUUGGGUGUGUAUUCAACACCCUCCAACUUGAGGGGGGAUGUUGACGAGGAAGUUGAUCGAGAAAAGGUUGAAGAUGGUGAUAAAAAGAUUUAUCCUUCCUUGUUUAUCGAUAAGAGAAUAAGCAGUGAGGAAGAAGG
rnacentral:lncRNA from 1 species